AGCAUUUCAGACUGAACACGAACAGAAAGGAGAACAAGGUGACAUGUUCUCGUUGCAACACGGCCCUUGCAUCAACUUCGAUGUUGCAGCAUCUCCACAGACGACACCGAGAACUGAGCGGAGGACACGACACAAGUAAAUCAUCACAGUCUCGGAUGGACAAAUGUAUUUGUGUUUGCAAAUGUUUCAAGACCGAAGAAAAAUACAGUUUGUUGUGAAUUUAAGAAAUAAAACUGUUUAUCU